rnacentral:tRNA from 1 species
AAGGGUAUAGCUCAGUUGGUAGAGCGGCGGUCUCCAAAACCGCAGGUCGUGGGUUCGAACCCCGCUGCCCUUGCCA